GGUGAAGUCCAGGCUGCAUAUGUGGUCUCCACUGACACUGCCCUGGGAGUUGGGAGCUUAUCACUGCCUGACGUGGAUGAGAGAUCCAGUUCCCUACUGUGCUUUUUCUGACACCACCUGGUGGGAUUUUGAACAACUCCGUGCAGCCUGGUAACUGGUCAGUUUGUUAUGUUUCCCGACCUUGGACAAGUGACCUUCUGUAGCAGACGUCCUAUGCAUCCCAGCAGUGCACUCAUCCUCUCAUCACUUAAGGGUCUCAAGACACAAGAGUUCAGCACUCUCUCAGAAAUGUUAGCUUGGACUCAACUGGUGGCUGGGAUGCAGAGUACAGUUUCUCUCUAAGCUUCCUGGAGGCUAAGAUGAAUAUAUUUGGAACUUUCCAUCAAAGGAAUUCACUGAGAAA